rnacentral:precursor_RNA from 16 species
CAAACCCGUCGUACGAUACCCGCCGUGGUCACGAUGUUUUUGUCUGCUCCAGAGGUGAGUUAUUACGACUUUGGGACAGACGAAACAUCUCAGACCAACGCUGGGACAUGACAGCACGACCACA